GGGACGGGGCAGGACGAGGCCUUCCGGAGAGAAGAGGCAGCUUCGGGGGACACCCCAGCGGGGCAUCGAGGAGGACGCGGACCCAAGCCGCUGGGCUCCGGGAUUUGGGGGCGGGGAGCGGCCACCCCCAGCCCCAGCUGCUUGCCUGCCUUCGCCAAAGUAUCAGCUGGCGCAGGAGGACAGAGGGGAGGACAGGGACAGAAGGCGGCAAGGCUGGCGGGGGAGGGGGCACAAAGGAAGGGACCCGCGAGGGGAGGGGCGCCACCUAAGGCUGCUGAGGCCCGCGGCCAGCGAUGAAGCCCCCGAGCUCCGGCGGCCGCCACGGCACCGCGGGGGACAGGGCACCCCGAACAGGGAAGGGUCCCGCCCCCCACACCCGAGGGGCAGCAGCGGUGGGGACAUUAAAGGGCAGGACUCUAAGACGCCAAAGUGCGGGUGGAGGCGGCAAGGGCCCCAGAGCAGGUGGGCCCCUCGUCCUUGGGACCCUGGGGGACCCUGCGGCUUUGUCUAGGUGCCCCGAGUCCACAGGGCUCAGCCCGGACGCCGCCGUCUCCGACGCCCCUUAACAGCUGCGCUGCCCUCGCUGAGGACCGGGGACCCCCGGCUCAGGACUGUGAGGAUGAGGCGACCUUGAAGUCGGUGGGACUCAAGCGGGAGCAAGCGUGAUGUGAGCCUUGCUGCCGGCCUUGCCCGGCCCCGGUCUGCCCUCUGCUGUCCGGGGAGGAGCCGAGGGACGCUCUCCGGCUUCGGAGACUACGCCGCGCCUGGCACCCCGCCCCCGCGGGGCAUCCAACCUCCAAGCUGGCGCCCCCACCUCUGCUCUGCCCUUUGGGGCAUGGAGACCCUAAGGGGAUGCGGAACGCCCAGCUAGAGGACACCACCGUCACCCAUGACUGCGACCGUGACCGCCUCCUGGAGAGUGGCUUUAAAUCUUUUCUGUGCCUCCAAGAGGACGCAGUCCCACACAUGACUGUGUUCCUCAUGGGGACAUCUGGGGCCCCGGCUCUGGAAGGAAUAACAAUAUGCCUGUCGUCCCAGCACUCCGGGAGGCUGAGGCAGGAGGGUUGCAAAAGCAAGCCCAGCCCAGGUGGCUUAGCGACUUGGUGAGACUCUGUCCUCAAAAUAAAGAAUGA